rnacentral:rRNA from 1 species
AACCUGCCCACUGAAAAUUUUAAAUGGCCGCAGUAUUUUGACUGUGCAAAGGUAGCAUAAUCAUUAGUCUUUUAAUUGAAGGCUGGAAUGAAUGGUUGGCCGAAAUAUUAACUGUUUCAUAUUAAAUUAUAAUAAAAUUUUAUAUUUUAGUAAAAAAGCUAAGAUAUUAUUAAAAGACGAGAAGACCCUAUAAAUCUUUAUAUUUACUGAGUUUAUAAAAAUUAGAAAUUAAAUUUUAUUUAUUUAUAUAAAUAUUUUAUUGGGGUGAUAUUAAAAUUUAAUUAACUUUUAUUUAUUUAUACAUUAAUUUAUGAUUUUUUGAUCUUUUAAUAUUGAUUAAUAGAAUAAGUUACUUUAGGGAUAACAGC